CGGGAGAGAUGCUUUCCUAUAAUGACACAGCCCGUGCUGUUUUGGCGUAAACUUAUGGUGUAUUACAGCUUACGGGAGUCCUAGAGGUCAUCCAUCCAGCGUUUUUCGGGCUAUUGACCACGUGCACCAGGGGGCGGAGCCUAGGAGUCCACGUGCGGCCCAGAUAUUGGCCUUAUAUCUCCAAUGUAGACUGUGAAGCCCUUUUCCCCACGGUGAUGGACCUGCAUUAGACAUUUGUUUGCAUUUGAAGGAACGCGCAAUUCGUCUCUGUCCUAGCUUGCUGUUGCUGCAGCAGCUGGAGAUCGGGGGCUGCAAGAGGAGAGACUGGGGGUGGGGGUUGCCAACAAAGGAAAGAUUGAGGGAGAAAAGAAAGCUGUGUUCACGGCAAAUUUUGAUGAACUGCGUAGAGUAGAAACAAUUGAGUCCAUGGAUGGAUACCGUGAGACAACUGGGAACUGAGGACUAUUGACAACGAAAAUAUGUUGGGUUACUUAUCUCAAAAAUGUUAUUGCCAUUAUAUCUAUCUCCUGAAAAACAAAUAAUAUCACUAAAUAUGAAAAGUUCUUAGCACAUCGCCCGGCAUUUAGUGAAUAAUCAUUAAAUGGCAAUGAUGGUGUUAAUGAGGUUGAAAAUGCAGGUGAUGACAGUGGUAAGAAUCGAGAAGUAGCUCCUCAUCUUAAUUCCAGUGAGUUCUGAUGGUAUAGACUCUAAGAUGGCCCUUCCUAUUCAGAGGAUCAAUAGCGCCUCUGAUAUUUGUGUGUGUGUUUAUGAGUGUGGCAAGAGCUCGCUUCUGUACGUGAGAGAGAGCAUUUAUAUUA
rnacentral:lncRNA from 1 species